GACGAACGCUGGCGGCGUGCUUAACACAUGCAAGUCGAACGGAAAGGCCCUGCUUUUGUGGGGUGCUCGAGUGGCGAACGGGUGAGUAACACGUGAGUAACCUGCCCUUGACUUUGGGAUAACUUCAGGAAACUGGGGCUAAUACCGGAUAGGAGCUCCUGCUGCAUGGUGGGGGUUGGAAAGUUUCGGCGGUUGGGGAUGGACUCGCGGCUUAUCAGCUUGUUGGUGGGGUAGUGGCUUACCAAGGCUUUGACGGGUAGCCGGCCUGAGAGGGUGACCGGCCACAUUGGGUAUGAGAUGCGGCCGAGGCUCCUACGGGACGCCGCAGGGGAGCAUAGUGCACCAUGGGCGGGAGCCUGAUGCAGCACCGCCGCGUGCGAGAUGCCGGCCUUCGGGUUGUAAACCGCUUUCGCCUGUGACGAAGCGUGUGUGACGGUAAUGGGUAAAGGCGCCCCGGCUCUCUACG
rnacentral:rRNA from 1 species